UACGGAGGGUGCAAACGUUGCUCGGAAUCAUUGGGCGUAAAGGGCGCGUAGGCGGCCACCGCAAGUCGACUGUGAAAUCUCCGGGCUUAACCCGGAAAGGUCAGCCGAUACUGCGGGGCUAGAGUGCAGAAGGGGCAACUGGAAUUCUCGGUGUAGCGGUGAAAUGCGUAGAUAUCGAGAGGAACACCUGCGGCGAAGGCGGGUUGCUGGGCUGACACUGACGCUGAUGCGCGAAAGCUAGGGAGCGAAGCGG
rnacentral:rRNA from 1 species